UCUCCUUCUUCCCAAAAAGCUUCCCUUCCCUUCUCCUUCAUCUUCGCUUUUGUUCUUCGCUUCCUCCAGAAAUCACCGGUGAGCUUUGGUUUCUGGCGAAAAGCGGACGGCUGGUCGAAGCAGAGCGGUUGCGUCCCCGAGUAUCCUCUGCCUUCGCCUCCAACAUGUGGCUCGUCACCUCCGCCUCCACCUUGUAGCUGUCGGCUCCGCUACGUCACCGUGGCCUUCGCCUCGUGGCUGUGGGCUCCGCUCGUUGCCGUCGGCUCCGCUCCGCUAAUGUGGAUGGUCACAGUGGAGUUUUGUUGAAUCAUUUUGGUUUGACGGAAGCAAGGAUAACCAGUUGGCAGGGGUCAUAGGAGGGAGUGGGAGGAAUGAACAUAAUUCCAGCAGUGACCCAAGUUUUCCUAAAUCACUUUGUCCUGGGAAUGGAACCAUUGGAUGCUGUUGAGUAUCCAAGGUUCUCCCGCAGCUGAAACCGAAUGUGGCAUUGUACGAAAACUGCACCUGCAUCGAUGGUGAUCACGCGUUGAGCUUGCGGAUGAACGAAAGCUUUUCCUAAAGGGGAGAGGUCAUAAGUUGGAAGCCAGAGCGGCAGGAGCAAUUGUUCAGCUUGUCGUUCAGAGUCUACAAAACACGCCCGAUUCGGGUCGCAAAAGUUGCGAGGACUUGAAUUGUGGAGUCGUCCGUGGAACUCUUACUGAUGUGAGUGAUCCUAGAAAAGAUGGGAGGCCUGCUGCGGUUUGAUAUUUCUUGUAACUAAUAGUGAACUAGAGAAAUGGCGGGAUUAGAAUGAUCUUGCGGUGCGAAUACAUGGAAGCUGCAAGUGAUGAUGCUUGUAUUAUUGAAUGUAAGAAUCAGGAUCUUGUAUUUUUGUAUGGCACAAUUACUUGGGAAGGUACAGCCCAGGCUGAGAAAUUGUUCCAAAGGAAUUGAGAAAUAAGUGCUUUAUAAAGAUAGAUGGUGAAUGAUAUUGAGAU